GACCAGUUUUAAAUCUCGUGUUGAGAGCCAGAAGAUGCUGGAGAAGGAAAGUGGUGGAAUAACUGCCUGAGAAUGAACCAUUCUCCAAUGAGAGGGGGCUUCGACAUUGAAAGGACAAUCUGGCCUUAACUUGGAAAUGCUGGAAAUUGACUGCACACAAUCUGUCCUGCUAGUGAGAGAAGCAAGGACUGCAUCUAAGUGCAACAUGAAGACUUUUGGUCCCAAGCUUUCCUCCAACUUCAGUGGGAGGCAGCCCAAAACCACCAUCGGCUCAAGGGUAAAGGGACCUGCAAUUCUUGGAAAGACUCUCCCAAUUCUUCUCCCAACAUGUGGUCAGCUCUUCCAGCAGGAUUAAGGAGGGAGGAGUUUCAGCUGUGCUUCUAAGAUCUUCCAGAAGGAAUUUUCUACCUCUAAAAUCAAGGACUUUCCUGGAAACUGCAGUCAGAGGACAGAACAUUAGCCUCAAGCUGGUGAAUAGGAUGGAUUUUCUCCCUAAACAUCCCUUCUGCUCUCUAGUUUGAAUUAUCAAUAAAAUGGUUUGGCUUAUCUCUGAAAA